AUUGAACGCUGGCGGCAGGCCUAACACAUGCAAGUCGAACGGUAACAGGAGGCAGCUUGCUGCUUCGCUGACGAGUGGCGGACGGGUGAGUAAUGUCUGGGAAGCUGCCUGAUGGAGGGGGAUAACUACUGGAAACGGUAGCUAAUACCGCAUAAUGUCGCAAGACCAAAGAGGGGGACCUUCGGGCCUCUUGCCAUCGGAUGUGCCCAGAUGGGAUUAGCUUGUUGGUGGGGUAACGGCUCACCAAGGCGACGAUCCCUAGCUGGUCUGAGAGGAUGACCAGCCACACUGGGACUGAGACACGGUCCAGACUCCUACGGGAGGCAGCAGUGGGGAAUAUUGCACAAUGGGCGCAAGCCUGAUGCAGCCAUGCCGCGUGUAUGAAGAAGGCCUUCGGGUUGUAAAGUACUUUCAGCGGGGAGGAAGGGAGUAAAGUUAAUACCUUUGCUCAUUGACGUUACCCGCAGAAGAAGCACCGGCUAACUCCGUG
rnacentral:rRNA from 1 species